AACAUUCACUGUGUUACUGUACAGGUGUGUGUGUGUGUGUUACUGUACAGGUGUGUGUGUGUGUGUGUUACUGUACAGGUGUGUGUGUGUGUGUGUUACUGUACAGGUGUGUGUGUUACUGUACAGGUGUGUGUGUGUGUGUGUUACUGUACAGGUGUGUGUGUGUGUGUGUUACUGUACAGGUGUGUGUGUGUGUGUGUUACUGUACAGGUGUGUGUGUGUGUGUGUUACUGUACAGGUGUGUGUGUGUGUGUGUUACUGUACAGGUGUGUGUGUGUGUGUGUGUGUGUGUGUGUGUGUGUGUGUGUGUGUGUGUGUGUGUGUGUUACUGUACAGGUGUGUGUGUGUGUGUGUGUGUGUGUUACUGUACAGGUGUGUGUGUGUGUGUGUGUGUGUGUGUGUGUGUGUGUGUGUGUGUGUGUGUGUUACUGUACAGGUGUGUGUGUGUGUGUGUGUGUGUGUGUGUUACUGUACAGGUGUGUGUGUGUGUGUGUGUGUGUGUGUGUGUGUGUGUGUUACUGUACAGGUGUGUGUGUGUGUGUUACUGUACAGGUGUGUGUGUGUGUGUGUUACUGUACAGGUGUGUGUGUGUGUGUGUGUGUGUGUGUGUGUGUGUGUGUGUGUGUGUGUGUGUGUGUGUUACUGUACAGGUGUGUGUGUGUGUGUGUGUGUGUUACUGUACAGGUGUGUGUGUGUGUGUGUGUGUGUGUGUUACUGUACAGGUGUGUGUGUGUGUACGUCUUCUGGUCUGACUGUGUCCUUCAGAAAGUAUUCAGACCCCUUGACUUAUUCCACAUUUUGUUACAUUACAGCCUUAAUUCUAAAAUGGAUUCAAUUGUUUUUUCCCCUCUCACCAUAAUGACAUCACAAUAACCCCAUAAUACCAAGUAGCAGGUUUUCAUCAAGGAUCUGUGCUUCGCUCCGUUCAUCUUUCCCCUCGAUCCUGCCUAGUCUCCCAGUCCGCUGAGAAACAUCCUCACAGCAUGACGCUGCCACCACCAUGCUUCACCGUAAGGAUGGUGCCAGGUUUCCUCCAUACGUGACGCUUGACAUUCAGGCCAAAGAGUUCAAUCUUGGUUUCAUCAGACCAGAACAUCUUGUUUCAUCUAGAGUCUUUAGUUGCCUUUUGACAAACUCCAAGCGGGCCGUCAUGUGCCUUUUACUGAGGAGUGGCUUCAGUCUGGCCUCUCUACCAUAAAGGGCCUGAUUGGUGGAGUGCUGCAGAGAUGGUUAUCCUUCUGGAAGGUUCUCUCAUCUCCACAGAGGAACUCUGUCAGAGUGACCAUUGGGUUCUUCUCCCCCGAUUGGUCAGUUUGGCCGGGCGUCCAGCUCUAGGAAGAGUCUUGGUGGUUCCAAACUUCUUCCAUUUCAGAAUGAUGGAGGCCACUGUGUUCUUGGGGACCUUCAAUGCUGCAGAAAUGUUUUGGUACCCUUCCUCAGAUCUGUGCCUCGACACAAUCCUGUCUCGGAGCUCUACGGACAAUUCCUUUGACCUCUUGGCUUGGUUUUUGCUCUGACCUGCACUGUUAACUGUGUGCCUUUUCAAAUCAUGUCCAAUCAAUUGAAUUUACCACAGGUGGACUCCAUGUUGUAGAAACAUCUCAAGGAUGAUCAAUGGAAACAGGACCCACCUGAACUCAAUUCAGAGUCAAUACUUAUUUCGGUUUAUUUUUAAUAAAUAUGCAAACAUUUCUAAACCCAUUUUCGCUUUGUCAUUAAGGGUUAUUGUGAUGUCAUUAAGGGGUAUUGUGAUGUCAUUAAGGGGUAUUGUGAUGUCAUUAAGGGGUAUUGUGAUGUCAUUAAGGGGUAUUGUGAUGUCAUUAAGGGGUAUUGUGAUGUCAUUAAGGGUUAUUGUGAUGUCAUUAAGGGGUAUUGUGAUGUCAUUAAGGGGUAUUGUGAUGUCAUUAAGGGGUAUUGUGAUGUCAUUAAGGGUUAUUGUGAUGUCAUUAAGGGGUAUUGUGAUGUCAUUAAGGGGUAUUGUGAUGUCAUUAAGGGGUAUUGUGAUGUCAUUAAGGGGUCGGUCGCAUUCGCACUUCGCUCUGCAGGUUGUAUAACUUUUUCAUUACAUUUCAUUAUAGUACAACGGUU